AUACGGAGGAUCCGAGCGUUAUCCGGAUUUAUUGGGUUUAAAGGGAGCGUAGGUGGACAGUUAAGUCAGUUGUGAAAGUUUGCGGCUCAACCGUAAAAUUGCAGUUGAUACUGGCUGUCUUGAGUACAGUAGAGGUGGGCGGAAUUCGUGGCGUAGCGGUGAAAUGCUUAGAUAUCACGAAGAACUCCGAUUGCGAAGGCAGCUCACUGGACUGCAACUGACACUGAUGCUCGAAAGUGUGGGUAUCAAACAGGAUUAGAUACCCUGGUAGUCCACACAGUAAACGAUGAAUACUCGCUGUUUGCGAUAUACAGUAAGCGGCCAAGCGAAAGCAUUAAGUAUUCCACCUGGGGAGUACGCCGGCAACGGUGAAACUCAAAGGAAUUGACGGGG
rnacentral:rRNA from 1 species